rnacentral:rRNA from 1 species
GACGAACGCUGGCGGCGUGCUUAACACAUGCAAGUCGAACGGACAGUCCCUGCUUUUGUGGGGUGCUCGGGUGGCGACCGGGUAAGUACCACGUGGGUAACCUGCCCUUGACUUUGGGAUAACUUCUGGUACCUGGGGCUCAUACCGGAUAGGAGCUACUGCUGCAUGGUGGGGGUUGGAACGUUUCGGCGGUUGGGGGUGGACUCGCGGCUUAUCAGCUUGUUGGUGGGGGAGUGGCUUACCAAGGCUUCGACGGAUAGCCGGCCUGAUAGGGUGACCGGCAGCAACGCGAGUGCGGUAAGGCGGAGCAGACUACGGGAGGCAGCAGUGGGGAAGAAUGCACAACGGGCGGAGGAAGGAUGAAGGAGCGACGCGUGGGGGAGGAAGGCCGUCUGUGGGUUGUCCGCCUCCUUUGGUGACGAAGCGGUAGUGACGGUAACGGGUAAAGAAGCCCCGGCUAACUACGUG